rfam:Clostridium botulinum D str. 1873 CLG.Contig181, whole genome shotgun sequence.
AUUAGAUAAGAUAAUACUCCGCAGACAGUAGGUGCGAAAGCAUAACGGGGAACCAACCUACCGAGGAUUUAAAUAUUCGGUAUUUUGGAUAUAUUAAGCCUCUUCGUGUCUGGAAGAGGCUUUUAGUUUUUGUUA